UUCACAUCAAUGACAUAGGCAAACCCAAACUUCAACCCCCAUUUAUUGCCCUCUAUAGACAUGACAUGUGCUCAUGUAAGACAAAAGAUCAUGAAAAAUUACAGUCAUCAUUCAACAACAUGUAAUUUUCUACGGAUGAAAACUAUGAUUUUUUUAAACAAUCUUGCAUGGAGUUGGUGGGGGUGUUUUAGAUAUAGAUUGUUCUGCUCCCAUGGUUGGAGAAGAAAACAGUUACAGUAAAACUCUGAGCUCAAGUUUGAUUUUUAAAAACAAGAUGGCUAAUCAGAACAGUGGGCUUAUCAGGAGGGGGGCCUGCACUAAAACAGCCUAAACAGCCUAUAAACAACAACGUUGAUUUGUGUCUUCUUCUGUCCGUCAAUGAGCGGAAAUACGGACAGCACCACUCUGCCAUUGCAACCCACAUUGUGGUCAGAGGUGGGAUUAUAUCAGUAGUGUUAAUGACUUGAAAAAAGGGACUUCAAGAGCAAAUUGCGGGUUAAAGUUUUUACAAAGUUUAUACUUAACCUUUUGUGAAAAUGACCAUGUGAAAAUUUAAUGCAGGAUUUAAUAUGUUUUACAAGACAUAAGGGCAUGUAUUCAGAGGAAAAAGUGGCCGUUUUGAGCAAAGCUCCUAAAAACGCUUUUUUCGAACAUUGCGUCCUAUUACGUAACAGGAGGGAGUCGGUCUCCUCAGCUCUGCCUUAGCUUAGUGAGCAGUUGUAGGUGGUAGUAAGUCUGAGCAGUCGUGGUAUGGUGAGUUGGUCUGUUUUCAGUAGCUAGUAGUGGCCAUCAUCAGCAGCUUCUGGUUCUGCCGCCGGCGGGCCUAAUGGUCACGGAUCCGUCAGAGAUUCAGCUCGACGAAAAAGUUAACUGUGCACCGAUUUGGGAGUUACUACAGAUGCACCUACCACCAGUGCUGCAGUGCAUGUAGACCCAGAGGAAGAGGCAUUCUCUCCACUGGCUCCUCAACCAUCUGUGCUUCACUUUGGCUCACAGUGUAACCUCAAGCCUUAACGUCAUUCAUCAGGUAGUGUAACAUUACUCUUAUAUCUAAUGAGUGAGUCAUCUGACAGGGAACUGUCAAAAGAGCCACCUCAGGAAUCUCCCCCUGACCUCAAGUAAGACUUCUUCUUUUAGUUUAGAUUAGAUAGAUUAUGUGUCAGCAAAUUUUGUCAUAGUCAGAAAUAAUAACUUUUUCUUUUUUCAUUGCUGCUGACAAGUUCAUUGUGUGCCAAAGCCAGUUGAUGUCCUUGUUUAACAUUUGCCCUUGCUGUUGUGGAGAAACCCAGGGAAACAUAGAACAGCAGGAGGGAACUUGUGUAAAAAUGAAGCAAGUAAUAGGAUAUUUGUGAAUUCUGAUAUAAAAAGGAAGUUCAUGACCUGUAUGUUAAUUUUUAUUAAUUUUUUGUUUUGUUUUGUUUUAAUCUAUUUAUAUACUUUAUUAUUCUUGUGGUAUAGACUGGUAAUUGUUUGCCUGUCAUAUACAUCUCUUAGGUCUGUGCAACAUGUUGGCAUGAGCGUUAUUGGUAGAACCAGCCAAUGCUACACCGAAACAUGCCUGCCUGCAACCUCUUAUUGUGUGGUGCCAUCUUCUUUUCGGAUUGCAUGGCUACCCAGACCAUAAGAAUGCUGAAGCUGUUUGGGCUUCAGUGCAUCAGUGCCAGCACCUUCUUCUGCCAUCAACGACUUUACACAAUUCCUACCAUCGUGCAGGCCUGGCAGAAUGAACAGGCAGGGAUUGUCAGAGAUCUGAAUGAGAUGGGGGGUGGGCUGAUCCUCUCUGGUGACUGCAGGUCAGACUCCUGGUCAUUCUGCCAAACACGGCGCCUACUCUUUGAUUUAGGACAGAAUUAACAAGGUUUUGGAUCUUCAACUUGUCCAGAGCUCAGAGGUCCCAAGUAGCACCUGGUGUGAGGUAGAAGGUCUGAAGCGCAGCAUAGAAUUUCUUAAGGAGCAGCAGAUGCAAGUGUCAGCCCUCAUCACAGACAGAAAUCGGCAGGUAAAGACACGCAACAACAGAUAUGUACACCCACAAAAUCUUGGCACUGACAAUAUUUACAGCUAAAACUACAUUUUCUUAUGAUUAAUGUGUCCCAUGCUUUACGUAGCUAAGUGGGUGUGGGAGGAGUUGUGUCCAAUAGGAACAAGCCAUUUCUUGGACAUUUGGCAUAUUGGUAAAAGUAUGUAUCUUGAUAGAGGUAAUUUUGUUUAGGUUGGGGGUUGUUUAUAAUUACAUUUUCUUUUUUAGCGUUAUGUUUUUUUGUUCUGAAACAGGCAUGAUUGUAUGAUCACAAUCUGUUGUGAUUUGUAUAACACCUUGUUCAUGAUUUUUUACUCUUUAUCUUGAAAAAAGCUGUUGGGCUGGAAAACCAGAUAUUCUCUUUUAUAAAAUAACAACACAAGCAAUUCUUAGCACACUCUGGGUUAUAUACUAGGACAGCACUGGUGAAGGAUAUUCGGCAAUUGUCCCCACAGCAUCAGACCUUUUCUCUGGAGGCAUUACACUCCCUCAUCCUGCACUUUGCGCCAAAGCACACUGGGUUCGCCUUCCUUGGGAUGUACAGCAGGCUGUGGACAGGACAUGGAAGCUUCUAUUGGGUCAAGUGAGGUGUCAAUCGAAAGGACAGGCCUCAUCAAUUUUGGUGAAAACGGCCACUUGAGGAAUCCCUGCCAGGAGGAAACACAAAACUGAAAAGUGAACCCAACGCAACUGACAUUUAUCCAAACUGACCACAGCUGAUGACUGAGGGAACUACACUCAAAACUAAUGGAGGCCCACCAUGUCAUUGAAGACAAAUGGGUAAAAUAUGUUUCGGGUUCCUUUUUGGAUCUUGUAGGUUGUGUACUGUGAAAAUGUGGAGAAGAAUGUAGUUAUUCUGUUGCCUGUACCGUCUUAUGCUUCUGCAGGUGCUUCUGUUCAGAGCUUUAUUUAUUAUUUACUGUCCUAUUCCACUUUCCUCACUAUUCAACUGACCAUCCUGAACUGUGAACACAUUGGCUCCUCCGGCCUCUCUGUAGUCAUAGUUCAGUCAGCUCACUCACCUGGAGUACAUUAUUAUUUAAAUGUAGAAUAUGUACAGCAUUAGUGUUUGGUCUCUAGGCUCUGACCUCAUUGUUCCCCACAAAGAAACAUUGAUCUCACAUAGCGAGGAGUGGGAAGUGAUGACACUAACUUCCCCCUCAAGGGGAAGAGAGACUCAGAGCCUAUAGGUGGAUGCUGGGUGGAGGUGGGGACUUUGAAAUGUUAUAUGAAUGGCAGCAACAGAAGCAACAGGAGUGCAGCAAGCUACAGCAUAGCCUGUGUGAGCAGUGUUGCAGCAGACAUGCCUCGAAGUGUGGGCAGAGCAUCGACGGCUUAAAUACGCUGCCAUGAUUAUAAAGGUGUGUUGAAUAUAUCUUUCAGAGAGGGGAGUAUGGCAUGUGGGUGGAGUGACAGCUCAAGUUGAGCUGCAUGAACUAGCUUGCAGGCGUUACUUCAUUUUUGGCACUUUAAUACUACAGAGAGGUAAAAGAGGCAAAAUACACAAAAAAUGAUUUGUGAUUUUGGAGAAUUCUUUGUGCUCUGCUAACUAAAGACAGGCAAGUUGUGGCAUUCUGCAAUGUUUUAUUAUGGACCAUAGACUGUUGUGUGUGAUGUAUGUGACCAAUCUCUGUGCUGCAGCAGAAACCACUCAGUUCACUGUAAAAGUAUCUUUACUGCCAGCGAGCAUCCUAAAUCCCCAGGCCUCGUCUCAGGCCCCUGCUACCUUUUGAAAUUAAGGGUUCCCCUUCUGUAAACACUUUCAAGGCUAAACUUAAGACCCACAUGUUCUCUCAGCCCUUUGAGUGUCUUUAAAGCUUUAUGUUUUACUAUUAUUUGUUCUUUGUUUGUUUGCAUAUGAGAUAGUAUUGUUAUAUCAUCUCUCCUUUUUUCUUUUUUUCUGUUACCUUGUAAUGUUGAUUUAAUUUACUGUUGUUAUUUUAUUGUACAGCACGUUGGUCAACUCUGGUUGUUUUAAAAUCUGCUUUAUAAAUGAACUUGACUGAUUUGACUUGACCUGCUCGAACAUGACAUACCCAAAAUGAAUAUACAUUUGGUAAAUUUCUGCAACUACAAGGUCUAUAUGAAUAAUCUUGGUAUUAUAAUAAAGGUAACACUUGUGAGA